GUAAGAUGGCGGCGCGGGGGGCGGCCUGGCGGGGCGGUCACGUGGUGAGGAGUAGCGCGCGAGCCUCCUUAAGUGAUCUCUAAGGUUCAAGAGAUUCUCCUGCCUCAGCCUCCCAAGUAAUUGGAAUUACAGGCCCAUGCCACCCCACCCGGCCAAUUUUUUUUGUAUUUUUAGUAGAGAUGGGGUUUUGCCAUGUUGGCCAGGCUGGUCUCAAACUCCUGACCUCAAGUGAUCCGCCAGCCUCGGCCUCCCAAAGUGCUGGGAUUACAGGCACGAGCCACCAUGCCGGACCUAUUAGUGUAUUUACUGGAUAUCAAGAUGACUAAGAAAUAGCACUUGCCUUGAAGGAGCUUUUCUAUUUGAGGAAAAAGACAUGUAUAUAAAUAACUGCAAACAGAAUGAAACAAGUGUUAUGUAGAUCUACAUACAGUGACAUGCCAUGGGAAUGCUGAACACUGAGCAACAGUUUCAACUAGCGAAUUGGCACAGGAAACAUGAAAAAUAAGCGUAUUUUCAAUAUGACAAGAAUGGUCAUUUCUGGAUAUAAGAACAAGAGAAAAGUCAUGGGUAUAUGGAAAGGCAUGGACUCUUCAAGGAAGAGCAAGUAGUCUAAUGUAGAUGCUGUAUAGGAAUCUGGGGACAAAGGGACAGAUAAGUGGUGUAGACAAAGAGGCUGGAAAUAGGGUUAUGGGCUAGAUCAUGAGUGACCUGUAAGCAUUAGGAGUUUUGAUUUAUUUUGGAAUAAGAAACAUUUAUGGCUUUUGAGAAGGAAAAUUACACAAGGGAAAAGAAAGGAUUUUUAUUUUUUAUUUUUAUUUUUGGAGAGAUGAGAUCUCACUAUGUUGCCCAGGCUGGUCUUGAACUCCUGAACUCAAGCAAUCCUCCCGGCUCGGCCUCUGAAACUUCUAGGAUUAUAGGCGUGAGCCACUACGCCCAGCCAGGAUUAUGUUUUUUUAUGGGAGGGAUGAGAAUAUUGGUAGGUGGGUAGAGGAUAAAUGAGAGAGAAUAUGUAUAUGUGAGAUUGAAUAUAUAAUAGAAAAAAUUGAUAGGACAAGUCCUGCGUUAUUACUACAUUUUAUGAGGAAAAUCUAUAUAUUAGAAGCACUUUAAAGGUAUAUUUGCUAUUCUAGCUGUGGAAACCAUCUGAAAACACAUUUGAAAGUGCUUUGAAACAGGGGUCAACUUCUCUGCAAAGGGCCAGAGUAUGUUUAGCUUUGCGGGCCACAGAUGGCCUCUGUUGCAUAUGCUGCUGGGUCUCCACCUUCCUCCUCCUUUUCUUCCCUUCCUCUUCCUUCUUUUUCUUCUUCUCUUUCUUCUUUCUCUUUAAAAGCAUAAAAUCAUUCUCAGCUCUUGGGCCAUACAGAAACAGGCCAUAGGCCAGAUUUGACUUCUAGGCCAUAGUUUGCCGACCCUCCAUUUUAGAACUUAGCUUUCCUGAAAGAGCAUUUGGGUCUCUCUCUCUCUUUCCCUUUCUCUCUCUCUGUCUCUCUCUCUCUCUCUUUCAGUAAGUGAAGUAAGAAAUAGGUCUUUCUUGAGGAACAAAAAGCUGAAAUAAUUUCAUGCAUUUGAAUAUGACCCUUGACCUGUUUUUGUCCAUCAUCACUCAGAUUUGUGGCUGCAACCACCAACCAAUUUGGUGCCAUAGGAUAUAGCAUAAUUUUUCAGCAACAGUUCAUAAGCUUUUCUUUUUGUUCUUUUUCCUUCUUCCAGUUGUGGUGGUUUAAAAACAUGUCUGCAAAAUCUUUGACACUUCUCAGUAAAAAAUAUAGUCUUGUGUUCCCUUUUCUUGAACCUAAGUGGCCUUUGUGCUGCCUCAACAAAUAGAAUAUGACAGAAAAGACACUAUGUGACUUUUGAGACAGGGUCAUAAGAGGUGAUACAGCUUCCCCAUGCCCCUGCAUUUUAGAGCUCUGGGUUGCCAUGUAAGAAUAGCUACCCUGAAGCUACCAUGCUGAAGAGACCACAGGGAAAUCACAUAGAGUUAGAAAGAGGUGUCUGAAGAAGCCCAGCUGCUCCCAAUCCCAGCUAUUUAAGUCCUCCCAGACCAGGUGCCAUAUAUAUGAGUGAGCAAGCCUUCAGAUGGUUCCAGCACCAGCCACCAUCUAGCUGUAAGCUCAUGAGACCCCUUCAACGAAAACCAUCUAGAUUAGCUUAGUCAAGCCCCAGAACCGUGAAAGACAAUAGACUUGCUAUGGAGGUCGCCACAUGCCUCUUUUUUCUCCCUUUGUGAAUGGGAUUAUUUAUAAUGGUUACCCCAUACCUACUCCACUAUGUAUAUUGGGUAUGAGGGAGAGAUAAUUUGUCUCACUAGCUGACAGAUUUUUCAGACCUCAAGGAAUGCCACGUGAGCUGUACUCACAGGACCACACACAAGUAUCUUUAUCCACACGUGACCUGAUUUCACUGAUAAAGUCCUGGACCUUGAGCCUGAGCCCAAUGUCUUAAUAAAUGAGAAUUUCAGAAGGUCUUGGGAGGGGGUGAGUAUAUUUUGCAUGUGGGAAGGAUGUAAAUAAUAUGUGGCCUGAGAGCAGAUUAUGGUGGUUUGAAAAUGUGUCCACCAAUUCUUUAAUACUACUCUCAACAAGAGGUGGAAUCUGUGUCUCUUCCUUUGGAACAUGAGUGGACCUUUGUGAUUAAAUGCAGCAGAAGGAUGCUGUGUGAACUCUGAGACAGGGUAAUAAGGGGUGAUACAGCUGCCACCUAGUUCUUUCUCAGAACAUGUGCCUUUGGAGCCCUGAGCUGCCAUGGAAGAAAACCACCUACCCUGAAGCCACAACACUGGAAAGACCAUGUGGAAGAACCACAGAGAGAGAGAAGAGGACCAAAUGUGUGAGCCUUCCCAGCCCAGGCUCCAAAUAUGCAAGUAGUAAGCCUUCAUUUCUUUUUGGUUUUAAUUUUUUUUUUUAAAUAAAUCGAAAUGGGUUCUCACUAUGUUGCCCAGGCUGGUCUUGAACUCCUAAGCUCAAGUAAUCCUCCUACCUCAGUCUCCCAAAGUGCUGGAAUUGUAGGCAUGAGCCACCAUGCCCGGCUGCAAUUAGUAAGUCUUCAGAUGCUUCCAUCACCAGCCACCAUCCGAUGACAACCCCAUGAAUGACCCUCAGCAAGAACUACCUAGCUGAAUCCAGCCAAACUCCAGACCCAUGAGAGAGAAAUAAAAUUGUUGUUUGAGUCACUAAAUACGGAGUAAUUUAUAUUAUCAACAGAUAACUGGAACCACAAGUGUAAUUGUUAAAGGUAAAACUUUGAAUACAUUUAUAUUUGCCUUCUGCCACAUUCCAUAAUUGACUUUUGUUCAUGAACCUAUUGGCAAGUUUGCCUUAUUGCUUUUCCUUCUUCCCUCUUUUUUUUUUUUGUAACUUAAAAAAUCAUAUAAUAAAACAACACAAAAAUGUAUUUGAAUGUAGGUUGAGUGACCGUAAAUAAGCACAAAACUUCUCCUUCCUGUGACUCUCUUGUCUGUAUAUGCCAAGUAUCUAACACAAGGCCUGCCUGGCACAUAAUUUUUUUUUUUAAAUGUUAGUCUCUUUUAUCAUUCUUUUUCCCUGUCAGUGGUAUUAUCUUUACCCAUGGAAUCCAGCACCCUCAUGCUGACUUAUAGUUCCCCAAAGUCCCUAACCUCUACAGUCCUCUCCAACCCCCACCCCAGGCCUCUCUCUAUGUUCCAGACAUUUUCUGGCUUUUUACCAUUAUCCAAACUCUGAACUUAUCUACUUAGUUUUUAUAAAAAAACACAGAGUGACUACAUAGCUAAUAUAAAUAAUGCCAGUGUUAACACAAAAAUUUGACUUGAAUGAUUACAAUAGCAAACUUCAAUGUUUACCCCAUGGAAUAGGCAGAAAAUUUCAAGCACUUUUCUAGGCCACCUGAGUCUAUUUUGAGUAAGGAUCCUUAAGUUGAUACUCAAGUAAUGACAUUGAUGCAAUGUAGAAGACUAUGCUAAAAUUUGUCCUGGCUUCUCUCCAUGCUAUGGGCCAUCUGUAAAGCUUUGGAGUCUAGGUCAGAUGUAUGCGUUGUCUCCUCUUUGCUACCAUUUUUGUACAGAUUUCUAAUCUAAAUAAAAUUAAUGGCAAUAACAGUGUGGAAAGGGAAAGCCUAAAAGAAAGAGGGUUUUUGAAGAGUGGGGGACCAGAAAAGAAGAGGACAAUUUUACCUGAAUUGUUUUACUUUAGAAAAUAAAUUUGUUCAUGUGAUUCUGUGAGUCAAUUUACACAUGUAUAUAAAUACACAUUUCUUUAUUUAACCAUUAUUAUUAUCACUAUGUGAUCCCUCAAUGUGCUGGCUACCACGGGUGUAAGAUAAAUUACAGAAACUCCUUAUUCUGAAGGAUUCCAACAACAAUUUGGCAUUGUGCACUGUAUGGGGCCUGGGAAAAUCCUCUGAUUUGCCAUACCUUAGGAAAGGUCUUUGCAUGAUACUAGGCCAUGUCUCUUACUACAAUGAUGAGCAUUCUUAGAUUUAAAAAUAAUACCAAGCUGUCAGGAAAACUGAAUUCCAUCAAUAAUAACAUCUUUUCAUAAACUGAAAGCUUGCAAAGCCUUAAUUAAAAAAAUGAAUUUAUUACUAAGUGAAUUUAAUUCACAAAAGGAAUUUUCCCCAAUAUUUAGGCUGUUGUUGGUUUUGGCUUUGUUUUUAAUUAACAUUUUUAGUUGUAUGGUUUGAUCAAAUACUGAAUUUGAGUUCAAAGAUACAUUUCCUCUGAGGAUGCAGUCUAAAGAGGCCAAGUAAAUAAUAGAAAAUCAUAGUUUCCAAGUUUCGCAGAACAAAGCUCAGUAGUUCCAUGACUUUUUCAGUGUUCUACAGAAUUGAGCUACUCCCUCUUACACAAAAAAGUGCUCUAAUUUUCAUUUUUUUCUUCUUUGCUCAGUUUCUUCAUUUAUUUGCCUACUUUCUUAAUUUCUUCCUAAGUAAAUAUAUAGCUAUCUUUGAGGAGAAGUGAUGUAACAUCAGAAACAAAGAGUAGACUCACAAUUAGAGCCCACUGACUCAUGGGACUUUAGAUAAACCACUAAUCAGGAAACUGGGGGUGUUAAUGCUGUUUAGUUAGUUGAUUGAGGAGGUGAGGACAAAACCUGGUGACUUCAGGGCCUCAGCAACAGAACUCCUACCUAUUUCCAUUGCUACCACUUACCUUAUGGGCAUUAGAUAAUUCUGCAGUGAGUUAUUCUGUGCAUGAGGGGGCAAAGGCUUUAGAGUCAGGUAGCUGGGGAGUUAUUUUCUCUCUCUGCUAUUUAAUAGCUGUAUGACCUCAGGUGAAUUUCUUAAUCUCCGUUUCCUUGUUUGUAAUACCCAUCAUGAGAAGUUGUUCUGAGGAUCACAGAUACUAUACCUAAAGUACCCAACAAAGUCCUGACACAAGGAAGGUGUUCCAUAAACGGUAGCUAUUUGAAGUAGUCUAAAAGGUCCCUUUCAAAUGUUUAAUACACCCAUAUAAUCCCAAUCUUAAUCUCUCACUCUCUUGUUGGCCCAUCAUUAGAGCACCAGAUCCCCUUGACUGCUUUCCAGGGUAAGGAUGCAAGACCACUGAGAACUGUGCCGCGCUGGUAAGAAGAGGUGCUGAUGGCAUGCUGUUGCCUCUGCCAGACAGACUCUGUCUUUGCUGAAGUGUUUAGUAUUGCUAUUGUGGCAAAUGCCAUUUUAGUCAAAGGCAAUAAAUCUUCCUUUGUUUAAAUGACAGAUGGCUAGGAUUGUUACUUCUGUUUCUAGCAAACCCAGAAAGGGAAAAAAUAAAUUACUGACAUUCAGAGUUCUUGUUUUUUAAGAAUAUUAGGGGGAAAAUGAAAAUAGUAUAGUUUCAGCAAAGUUAUAUAGUUUUUGCAGUCAACAGAAUAAUGGGCCCCCUAAUGAUGUUCACGUCCUAACCCCUAGAAUCUAUGAAUAUGUUAGGUUACAGGGCAAAGGGGAAUUAAGAGUGCAGGUGGAAUUAAGAUUAAUUAGCUGACCUUAAGAUAGGGAAUGUAGCAUAAUUUAUCCAGGUGAGCCCAAUAUAAUCACAAUGGAAGACAGAGACAGAAGAAUCAGAGUCAGAGAAGACGUGGCUACAGAGGAGAGAGUGAUGAGAUGUGAGGAUUCUGCCUGCCAUUGCUGGCUUUCAAGAUGAAGGAAGGGGGCCAUGAACCAAGGGGAUGCCUCUAGAAGCUGGAAAAGGUAAGGAAACAGAUUCUCACCUAGACUUCCAGAAAGCUCUGCUGUUGCCUUGAUUUUAGCCUAGUGAGACCCAUUUCAGACUUCCGACCUCCAGUACGUGAAGAUAAUACAUUUGUGUUGUUUUAACCUAUUAAGUUCUAAAAUGGUGAACCCAAUUUCAUUUCUUCUCUCCCUUUACAAGGUAGGUGCUAUUAACAGUGAAAUGACAAUGCAAAAGCAAAGCAGAGGAAAGCACCAGCAAAGGACAUGCCUCGCUGACUGCAGAUUACAGUGUCCUCUACUCAAUUCCUAUCUUAAUAUGUAUCACAUGCCCUGCCUGAGAUAAUGAGGACUCUCCCAUUCCCUCAGUCUUCAGGUUGCCUCUACUUCUCUUCCAUUUUCUUUUUCCUUGAUAUGAUCCUCUUCUUUCUCAUUCUUCUCUUCUUUCAUUUCCUGAGUUGUUUUCUCUCCACUUCUUCCCCCUCUACUCUGAUAGGAAAUAUUAUAGCAGUAGCCCAAGCUAGAAGAAAAAGGACACACCUACCAGCUCCCUCCCUCCCUCACAACACCUACACGGCUGCUGGGGAAGCCUUGAAUGAAAGCUAGAAAAGAACAAAUAGGAAAAGAGGCAUUUGAAAACAGAACAGAAAUAGUCACAGACGGGUGACAGGCAGGAGAUGCCACCUCAUUGACAGCUGCCACCAUUUUCCAUAGAGAAGUUAUUCCAUUGUAGUAUACACCAGGGCUGGGUUUAAAUAUUUUUCCUAUGUACUUGGUAGUAUAGUGGAAGCUCCUCCAUUUCUCUAAAUAGUUAACUGCAUACUUAGAGCUCUUGGUAGCGUUUAGAACACGGAGUUAAUUAUUCUGAGUGUACCUAGCCCCAUCACUGUCUGUAAUCUGUACAAAAUUUGAUAAGCCCUUUUAAGGUAGUUAGAUAUUUAUUGAGACUCUGCUGUAUAUUUGGCAGUGCCCCAGAUAUAGGUAGUGGUGGUGACAGCAAGCAAUAGGACCAGUGGAGCCUGCUUUUUAAUAGAGAGUGAUCUCUCUGGUAUUGUUGUAAGUACAGCAUAUAAGCAACUUGAGGUGUUGUCUUAAAGAUGUGAGCUCACCUAAUUUACACAAGAGCAUCAAAGCCAGAAUUCCUCCCCUUGCUGAUGUUAGCCUGUAACUCUGUGCCUCUCAAGUGUAUAACUUCUUCUGUGGGAAUCAUGCUUCUGAAGCAUGAGGAAAGAACACACCCGUGUUUCCACUUUCUCUGCUGCUUUGCAUGUGAUCCCUCCAGGUAUGCAAAAUAAUGCCUCAAUAUCAUUUUGACCUGUGUUGUCAUUUUACAUAUUUUAUCAGAAGACUUCAUAUCGGAUGGAAGCAAAUCUUUAGAAGGGUUGUUAUAACAACUUGAACAGCCCAUCAUGCUCUAGGCAUGCUCCCUAUCACGGCUAUGUUUUCAUUCAUUAGAGAUGGAGGAGGAGGCGGCUUAAAAUGUGUAAUUCUAAUCACCUAUUCCUACAGCUCUCUAACUGGUCUCCGUGGCUUCUCUUGCCUUCCUCCAGUCUUGCCCGUGAACCUUGAUUAGAGGACAACACAACACUAACAGCCACUCCUCCCUCUCCCUCCUGACUCCUUAUUUGAGUUAGAGGCUCUCGUAACACCUGCGUCUUCCCCUUUGUCAGCAGUCAUCACAACGAAUUGUGAUUGCCUAUUUACUCAUCUGCAUCUCCCACUGAAUUCUGAUCCAUGGUGGCUGGCCCAUGCCUGUCUUGUGUACAUUUGCAUGUAAACCACUUAACCCAAGUGCCAGGAAGCAAACAGUACACGCAGGUGUGUGGAGUGAUUGAAAGCUAAUUUGCUACCUAAGAAUGUACAGUGAUUCCUCAGUGUUUAUUAGAUCAGGCCCAGACUCUUCAUUUCAGUUUUCAACUCCUCUGAUUUUUCUUUUAUACAAGCUUUCAGAUCUCCUCUUGGUUCUCAUCUAGCUCUUGCAUCUUUAUGCCGUGGGUUGAUUCCUCUGCCUGCCUAUCUGUAGUAGCUUGUCUCCUAGGAUGGCUGCCAUCAAUUUCUUCUCUUCUGUAUACACAUGCCACUCCCGCAUUGAGAGAUGGAGUCUUCUUUCCCCCUGGAAUCUGGUCUGGCCUGUGACUAAUUUCAAUAAUAGAAUCUUGCAUUUCUAUUGAAACUACCAAAAAAAAAAAAUUGUGUCAGCUACUACAGCUACUAAGUUUUGGGAUGGUUUGUUAUAUGGCAAUAGAUAUCCUCAAUACCAUUCUUCAAAGUCCCAAACCUACAUUUUCUGUGAAGCCUUACCUUGCUAGUCUAGUUAACACUGAUCUCCUCCUUCUCUGAAGUUCUGUGGGAAUAGAACUUUGUUGAUGCCACACAUUUUGUUAUCCAACUGUAUGUAUUAUUACUUUUCCUUUCCUGAAUGCCAGUAUGAACUCCAUGACCAAAUUAUAUGGUCUUUGAAGAUACCAAAUAGUGGAAAUAGGUCUUUUGUAAUCCCUUCAACAAGUCCUAGUACUGAAUAAAAAUGUAAUGGCUGUUGAAUUGGAUUAAAAGUAAAAAUAUUCUUGGCC
rnacentral:lncRNA from 1 species